rnacentral:rRNA from 1 species
GACGAACGCUGGCGGCGCGCCUAACACAUGCAAGUCGAACGAGCGAGAGAGAGCUUGCUUUCUCGAGCGAGUGGCGAACGGGUGAGUAACGCGUGAGGAACCUGCCUCAAAGAGGGGGACAACAGUUGGAAACGACUGCUAAUACCGCAUAAGCCCACGGCUCGGCAUCGAGCAGGGGGAAAAGGAGCAAUCCGCUUUGAGAUGGCCUCGCGUCCGAUUAGCUAGUUGGUGAGGUAACGGCCCACCAAGGCGACGAUCGGUAGCCGGACUGAGAUGUUGAACGGCCACAUUGGGACUGAGACACGGCCCAGACUCCUACGGGAGGCAGCAGUGGGGAAUAUGGCACAAUGGGGGAAACCCUGAUGCAGCGACGCCGCGUGGAGGAAGAAGGUCUUCGGAUUGUAAACUCCUGUUGUUGGGGAAGAUAAUGACGGUACCCAACAAGGAAGUGACGGCUAACUACGUG